AUGCGUCAGAGGGUUUUUGAUAACAGAGCCAUGCGAGUGGUCAACGAUUUCUGGGAUUUCUAUACAUGCGUUGAGGGUCAGAAGGAUCGUGCAAAUGUGGUGGUUGAGAAUAUUGCCAAGAAACUAGUCCACGACAUGCACUAUGAGGAGCGCGUCCGGUUAGUGGUCAAGUAUCACGCGGACUAUCUCAACCAUAGGAUUUCCAAACAGGAGGCUCGAGGGACGCAUCUUUCACGGGACAAUUACUUCAAGCCGUGCUGGGAGAAGAUCGUCGAACGGUGGACAGAUCUAGGGUGGCAGGAUGAACACAAAGUAAUAUCUGAACGGCGUAAGUUGAUGGGGAGUCGAGGACACCGUCAAGGCAACCUCACCAUCCCAGACACUGGCAAGGAUAUCACUUACUUCGAGGCAUGGACCAUCAAACGUACCAAAGACGACAAGGACAAGGACCCUCUCCACCCGGAGAGGGACUGGAUCAGCUCUAAAGCCCAGUCAGAUGGAGAGAACUACACCAAAAAAUUGAAGGAGACGUACGGGCCUGACGCUGAUCCUCACGUGCUACCGUUUGACCCUCUUGUGGCCAUUGCCGCGGCAGGCGGUAGACCGAAUGGCCGGAUGGCGGUUCACCUCGAUUUUUUCAUAACCUCCUCCCUUUCAAGAGUCAACACGCUCCGUGCUAUGAGUACUGGCUCUACUCCUACCGUAGAGCAUCACGUACCAUAG
rnacentral:rRNA from 1 species